UGAUCCAAACCAGCCAUGCAACAGCCAAGACAGGUACACAAACUGAAUAGAAAGGAUUUAGGAACCCGUGGGCUACGUUGCAUUGGUGCCUUCUCAGGUCUCAAAAAGUGCAGUGCAGGGAGGAGCAUCUGGUAAUCCCUACUGUAGAAGGGAAAACAAUGGCCCAGAGCAUUGUAUCACUGAGUAGCCAAGUUGGGAAUCCCACCCGAAUCAAUCCUGUCUCUGGACAAAGCUGUGACUUCCCUAUGAAUACAACAGAUGCCCAUACCAAAGCAAUUACUGUAUGGAAGAUGCUGACUGGCUGGAAGAACCUGUCCAUUCUGGGUCUGUAAUGGAGUCUGUGAGGAGAUCAGCUUCCUGGUGUGGAAGAAGGCAGCCGUCUGAUCUUCAGGUUGCUCCUGUCCUAGAGAAGACAUAAGGGGGCUUGUGUUGUGAACAGUCCUGCCUGGAGUCAAUUCCAAUCUGAGAAGAUGGCAUGAAGGACAAAAUCAUCACCCACUUGUGAUGGGGACAAGUGUAGCUGCUUAAAUUGCCAGUCCUGGUGUUCAGCAAGUAGGGAAGAUGUCAGAGCUCUCCUGCAGAGUUAACAUGCCCGACACAGAGACCAACUUAGUCAUUAUAGGACUCCAGGAUCCUGGCCAGAUGGAGCAAGAGAGGCUGCCAAAUCCGUCAGGUUGAUGGAGCCAGCAGGCUGCUCCACCUGACUGUCUGGAAGCAUUCUUUUGCUCUCUUGGGAGGUUCUCAGCGCGUCUCCAUUUCCUCUGAAAGAAGGUUCACCCAUGACUGCCAACAUCUCUGUCAGGAAAAGAACUUCUUUGUCAACACUGAGAAGAGAUCCUGAAGAAUCCCGAGGUGCGUGAGGAGGCUCGUUUUACACCUGAAAGUGCUAUCCUAAGUGCGUACAUGGCAGUGAGGUGGAGCUCCGAAAUAGGAGAGAGGGACAGAGAAAAAGAAGAGGUGGAAAAAAGCACCAGCAACAAGCCCAGCAAGUUCACUGAAUGCAUAAGCAGUACCAUCAGUGUGUGCUUGUGAAAUACUUAGUUGGAGAGAGUAGCCUUACUGGUUCUGGCUGAUUCAAACAAUAGGUCUCUUUUACCUGUCAUUAACAUGUGAGAUGUUCACCCUGGCCAGGAAAUCUGUCACUUUUUGUCCAGUUCACUGUAGCUUGUCACACACUGAAAAGACAUGCAACUCCAUGCUCUUUUCUCUCUUUCCUUAAUGCAGAGGUUCCCAAACCAUGACAAAGACCCCUAUCAACCUUCUUUAAGUCUUUUGGAGCACUUAGACCUUUAUUGUUCAACUCUGAAUAGAGAGCUUUUAAGAAUACUUGGUUCUUCAGGACAACUAGACUUUUAUAACCUCACCAGCCAUCCAUAGAUCAAGGGUGGGAAGUUCUGUUUUGGCCAAAAAGGUGCCAAUUUUUGAUUAUUUUCUCUUUGAUUUUUAAAAUACAACAAGAAUUCUGGUGAAGAAGAACUGCAUCUAAUAAGGAGCAAAGGAUUAAUGAAGAAGAAAAUGGGAGAUCUUUUUUUGCUGACGUGGAAAGGGAGAAAAAAAUAAAACGGCUGCUUGUGGAAACAUGGAAAGUCUCCAGUGUAAUGAUAAUAAGAAUAAUUUCAAAUAUAUUUUCUGAGAUCUGAACAGUAUUUAUAUGCAAAUACUAUCUAAGAAGGUAGUGGAAAAAAAAAUCAGUUUUCCUGACAUUGGCUGGGAAACAGAAUUUGCAGUUCUGGAAGACUUGCAAUUUCCAUAGGAACCAGAUGAGAUGAAGUAGAAAGACUUAACAGAGGUGAUUAAAAAGUAUUUUGUACUGAAAACAAACUUUCUAGCUGAAUGACAUAAAUUACAUUUAAGAGAGCAAAUGACUUUCUAGUGAGUAUAAAAAAAACAUGCCAGUAUCUGCCCUUUGGUAACUGUGUUAGAAAGCGUUAGAUGGCAGAGAGCUCAGCUGCAGAGCACAGCCAUGUGCAGUGCACACCCAUGGGCACAUCUUUGGGGUUGAGUUGAUGUAAAUCUAGUUUAUGCUACCAGAAUUUUGUGGUCCUGUUAGUACUCAAAUACAUGCAAAAUAAACUCAGUGCUUCAUAAAUCGAGAAAGGACCUUCACUAUUUUCUCUUGUUCUGAACAGAGGUCGGAGGUGAGUGAUGGGGCAGAACACUUCAUCCCUGCUGUCUGAUGUUUGGUAAUUUUAAUGAGAAAAAAAAUUAUGGAUUAUAUCCUGCAUUAAAGAUUUGUCUCCUUUUGUCUUUUGUUUUGGUUAUUUUAGCAGUAAUAAUUUUGUGGUUUCUGUACUCACCUUCCUAAAGAGGGGUGCCAUCACAAACAAGCAAGCUACUUCCUCUGUAGUGCUAUUUCUGUUUUAUUAGUGAACUAAAAAAAGAGCUUUGAUCUACUGUUCAGCUUGAUAUGUAAUGAGAUAUUUUAAUCAAAUUCUGCUCUUGACUGAACUCAUGCAAGAUAAUACAGAUAUAAGUUCUUGGGGUUUCUGGACAGUCAGAUGGGAUCUUGCAGUUAGAUCUUGUUGGUGUGAGUUCGGUGGACACCACUGCAGGGAUAGAGAUCUUUCCAUAGAAAAUUCAUUGCAGGAUUGGGGCAUAAGAGCAAAUGCAUUUGGCCCUGAACACAAUUAAUUAAUGCAUGGCUAAAGCUUGUUUAUAUGUGUUCGUCCUUCUCCCACUGAAGUUGAUGGCAAAACUCCCAUGGAGUUCAGCAAAGUGGGAUGGAAUCUAUACAAAAAUUAUUUUUCCCAGAACAACUUUGCAAUAACCAGAGGAUUUGCAAGCUCCUCACUCUGACACAUUGAAAUAAUUUGGGACUUUCAUUCCAUUUUGCUUUAAUUGGACUUAUGCUACAUCUGAGUCUUCCUAAGUGGGUUGCUGUGCCUAAAAUAUGUGCAGGCAUGUUUGCACUCUCUGAGGGAACACGGAGGUUAAACUAGAAGGUGAGGUUAUGUUAGCAAGGAUAUUUUCUUUUUAUACUGCUUCCAAAGGCAACCCUGUUUUGGGCUCACCACUCUGCCUUGACCGCUCUGUGCCUCGCCAUACCAAAUCAUGCUGGGAUUUGAUGAUAAAGCACAUCCUCUUUCCAGGAGCCAAGCCAAGCCCUACAUCCUAACUCACUGGUGUUCUGGUACCUUAGGCACUUUGUGGUCAGGAGGCAGACUGUAAAUGCGGGUAUUAGCUGUGGUGACGCUGGAAUGUCCAAACCCUCUGUAGGAAGAGAAGAAAAUUCUUACAAAGCUGCUGUUGCCCAUUUCAUUCCUAUUUCCUUUGUUUUUAUGUUUCUCAGACUGUGCCAGCUGAGAUGAUAGCUCUUAGCUGGAUACCAGCACUUGCAGGGCCUGAUUUGGUUCAUGUCUUCUAUAAAAGUUUUCCAUCUCUGACCAAGGUAUUUCAGAUCAGGGUAAAAAUGUGAGUAAAUCAGAGCUGGCAUCUAUCCCAGACAUAUCAAUUCCCUUAAUUCUCUUUUUCCUGUGGCUUUGGGACAAUCAAAAUAGGGAAUGUUUCCAUUGCUAUACCUUUAUGAAAGUACAAUAUGUGAACACCAUAUCCUGAGUGCAUCUAGUGUGUUUCCUUACCUUGGUUGUUACCAACUGCACAGAUUUCUCUGGCAAUGAUGUGAAAUGGAGCACUGCAGUAGAGUAAAUCUUUUGGUAGGGCUUGGUUCCAGGGAAGAUCAAAACCCCCAGCAUGACAGUUAAUGAAACAAGGAGAAAGAAGAUGGGAGCUAUCAUUCCCAGCCAGCCAACACUAACAGAGUCCGAAGGCAACUGGAGGUGCCAAGGUGUCUGCUUGCAAAAUUUGGAGAGAGCUGUGGGGGUCACAGGGAGGGCUGCACCAAGGCCAGUUUUGCUGGCAAGAAAAGUGACUUAUGAUGACAGAGGAACAGUGGAGACAACUCAUCCUCUCCAAGAGGACACGUAGUGUCUUUUUUAAGAUACAGAACAAGCUGGCAUUAUUCUGCAUCCCUUGGGCAACAGUACUUUGCUGUGGAGCUGACCUGGGUGGAGUACAUGGAGCAUGGCCUGGAUCUAGGGGUAUAAACUGUACGCACAGUAACUGCAAGGACAAAAUAGCAUGAACUGAGCAGUGCAGAGCACCUGGUCCCCAGGGCAGACAGCCAGUGCCCUUCAUAAAGGAGUUAAUGACAAAAUGUGUCAGUCUGCUGUAGCAUGAGCCCUAAAGCAGAGCAGAGAGUGAACACCUCCUGUAACGAGCCUAUUUAUCUCUAAAGCAGUGUUUCUCAGACUGUGAUCCACGGGCCUUUGGUGGUCUAUAAAACAUUCAGUGGUGGCUCAUGAAAUAGUAGUAAACCCUCUCUCCUCCCUCCAACAGCCACAGAAGCAAGCACACAAACAAAAUGGAAGAAAA